rnacentral:hammerhead_ribozyme from 15 species
AACCAGUAUUAAAUGUUUGUGUAGCACUGAUGAGCUUCUCAAAUAAAGCGAAACUGGAA